ACAUGCAGUCGAGCGGACAGAAGGGAGCUUGCUCCCGGAUGUUAGCGGCGGACGGGUGAGUAACACGUGGGUAACCUGCCUGUAAGACUGGGAUAACUCCGGGAAACCGGAGCUAAUACCGGAUAGUUCCUUGAACCGCAUGGUUCAAGGAUGAAAGACGGUUUCGGCUGUCACUUACAGAUGGACCCGCGGCGCAUUAGCUAGUUGGUGGGGUAAUGGCUCACCAAGGCGACGAUGCGUAGCCGACCUGAGAGGGUGAUCGGCCACACUGGGACUGAGACACGGCCCAGACUCCUACGGGAGGCAGCAGUAGGGAAUCUUCCGCAAUGGACGAAAGUCUGACGGAGCAACGCCGCGUGAGUGAUGAAGGUUUUCGGAUCGUAAAGCUCUGUUGUUAGGGAAGAACAAGUGCGAGAGUAACUGCUCGCACCUUGACGGUACCUAACCAGAAAGCCACGGCUAACUACGUGCCAGCAGCCGCGGUAAUACGUAGGUGGCAAGCGUUGUCCGGAAUUAUUGGGCGUAAAGGGCUCGCAGGCGGUUUCUUAAGUCUGAUGUGAAAGCCCCCGGCUCAACCGGGGAGGGUCAUUGGAAACUGGGAAACUUGAGUGCAGAAGAGGAGAGUGGAAUUCCACGUGUAGCGGUGAAAUGCGUAGAGAUGUGGAGGAACACCAGUGGCGAAGGCGACUCUCUGGUCUGUAACUGACGCUGAGGAGCGAAAGCGUGG
rnacentral:rRNA from 1 species